AUUGAACACUGGCGGCAUGCUUUACACAUGCAAGUCGAACGGCAGCGCGGGGGCAACCCUGGCGGCGAGUGGCGAACGGGUGAGUAAUGCAUCGGAACGUAUCCUGUAAUGGGGGAUAACGUAGCGAAAGUUACGCUAAUACCGCAUACGCUCGAGAGAGGAAAGUGGGGACCGCAAGACCUCACGUUAUAGGAGCGGCCGAUGUCCGAUUGGCUAGUUGGUGGGGUAAAGGCCUACCAAGGCGACGAUCGGUAGCUGGUCUGAGAGGAUGAUCAGCCACACUGGGACUGAGACACGGCCCAGACUCCUACGGGAGGCAGCAGUGGGGAAUUUUGGACAAUGGGCGAAAGCCUGAUCCAGCCAUGCCGCGUGCGGGAAGAAGGCCU
rnacentral:rRNA from 1 species